rnacentral:rRNA from 1 species
AACGAACGCGGGCGGCAUGCCUAACACAUGCAAGUCGAACGAGACCUUCGGGUCUAGUGGCGCACGGGUGCGUAACGCGUGGGAAUCUGCCCUUGGGUUCGGUAUAACAGUUGUAAACGACUGCUAAUACCGGAUGAUGACGUAAGUCAAAAGAUUUAUCGCCCAGGGAUGAGCCCGCGUAGGAUUAGCUAGUGGGUGGGGUAAAGGCCUACCAAGGCGACGAUCCUUAGCUGGUCUGAGAGGAUGGUCAGCCACACUGGGACUGAGACACGGCCCAGACUCCUACGGGAGGCAGCAGUGGGGAAUAUUGGACAAUGGGCGAAAGCCUGAUCCAGCAAUGCCGCGUGAGUGAUGAAGGCGGUAGGGUUGUAAAGCUCUUUUACCCGGGAUGAUAAUGACAGUACCGGGAGAAUAAGCCCCGGCUAACUCCGUG